rnacentral:rRNA from 1 species
AAACUAGGAUUAGAUACCCUAUUAUUUUAAAUGUAAAAUUUUACCUAGGUAAUAAUAGUUUUGUUCUUUAAACCUAAAGAAUUUGGCGGUGUUUUAGUCUAUUCAGAGGAAUUUGUCCCAUUAUCGAUAGUCCCCGUUUUAUCUUACUUAUUUUUAAAGUAUGUAUAUCGCCGUUAUAAGUUUAUUUUUUAAGAAUAUUUACUUUUAAUUUUAUUAAUUUUUAUUUCAGGUCAAGGUGCAGCUGAUAAAUAAGAGGAGAUGAAUUACAAUAUUAUUUAAAUAUAUGAAUAUAAAUUUUAUAAUUUUAUUGAAAGUGGAUUUGUUAGUAAUUUUUACUAUAAUUUAAUUAUGAUUUUAGCUCUAAAAUGAGUACACAUCG